rnacentral:rRNA from 1 species
CCUACGGGAGGCAGCAGUGAGGAAUAUUGGUCAAUGGGGGGAACCCUGAUGCAGCGACGCCGCGUGGGUGAAGACGCGCCUCGGCGCGUAAAGCCCUGUCAGCAGGGAAGAAAAUGACGGUACCUGAAGAAGAAGCCCCGGCUAACUACGUGCCCGCAGCCGCGGUAAUACGUAGGGGGCAAGCGUUAUCCGGAUUUACGGGGUGUAAGGGGGGCGCAGACGGCGAUGCAAGCCAGGAGUGAAAGCCCGGGGCCCAACCCCGGGACUGCUCUUGGAACUGCGUGGCUGGAGUGCAGAAGGGGCAGGCGGAAUGCCUGGUGUAGCGGUGAAAUGCGUAGAUAUCAGGAGGAACACCGGUGGCGAAGGCGGCCUGCUGGACUGCAACUGACGUUGAGGCCCGAAAGCGUGGGGAGCAAACAGGAUUAGAUACCCUUGUAGUC